CACGUAGGGCGCAAGCGUUGUCCGGAAUUAUUGGGCGUAAAGAGCUCGUAGGCGGUCUGUUGCGUCCGCUGUGAAAACCCGGGGCUUAACCCCUGGCUUGCAGUGGAUACGGACAGACUAGAGGUAGGUAGGGGAGAAUGGAAUUCCCGGUGUAGCGGUGAAAUGCGCAGAUAUCGGGAGGAACACCGGUGGCGAAGGCGGGUCUCUGGACAGUUCCUGACGCUGAGGCACGAAGGCCAGGGGAGCAAACGGG
rnacentral:rRNA from 1 species